rnacentral:rRNA from 1 species
GACGGAGGAUGCAAGUGUUAUCCGGAAUCACUGGGCGUAAAGCGUCUGUAGGUGGUUCGAAAAGUCCACUGUUAAAGAUUGAGGCUUAACUUCAAAAAUGCCGUGGAAACUUUCAAACUAGAGUAUGGUAGGGGUAGAGGGAAUUUCCAGUGGAGCGGUGAAAUGCGUAGAUAUUGGAAAGACCACCGAUGGCGAAGGCACUCUACUGGGCCACUACUGACACUGAGAGACGAAAGCUAGGGGAGCAAAUGGG